AGACCGACGCCCUCCUGAAGGGUGAAAUGCCAGUGGGACACAGGUCCAUUUUAUUCUCUGCCAGGAAACAAAAUGGAGGUUGCAGGGGCAGGCGCUUGUUACCAAUCUUAAGCGACUUUGCUCCUAGGAUACGUAAUUGCGGGUGCGACGCUUUCCGCGAGCGUAGCCCUGGGAUUUGGUGAGCCCUCCCUGUCCAGAAUGUGCUCCAGGACUCACAAGCAGCUAAGUGAUGCGAAGGUCCCUACAGCUAGCUACUCGGAUGUGGAAGCCUUUACCUGUGUCGGGUCUGAAAGAAACUCCACUCCCCCAAAUCCUGGCACCCGUUUCCUUCUACCAAAGGUAUGGUUGAGGGGAAGGUUUUUAUUGUAGAUAUGAGGGAGAAUAGAGCCAGAGGCAUCUAGAAUAGUCCAGAACAGAGAGAGAUAGUAGUAAAUUAAACAUGGCCAGCAGACUGGACCAGGCCUGAGAGGAGCCAGGUGGGAGGAGGGAGGUGAGAGGAAGACAGAGAGAGUCAGGGGUCGAGUGGGGGGAUUAAGAGAGAGAGGGCCCUGAGAGGAAGACAAAAGAGAGGGAGCAUAGCCGGAAUGGCAGUGUUACAGGGACCGAGAAGGGGAGGGAGGGAAGCCUAUGAGCAUAAGUUAUGCGUGUGGGGCGUGGUGAAAAGACCCACUGGUAGCUGGGAUACUGAGGAAGUCUGGAGGCCAGCGCUUUAGUAUGCUAACAUCCACCAAAGGUAGCCAUUUGUCCUGAGUUCCUUUUAAACCUUAAAUCAAGCAAUUGCUAAGAACCACUGAGGCACACCAGUAGAUCUUAUUUUUCUGAAUGGUCACAUUGUGAAAGGUUUAUGCUUACACCCACAGACCUGGGGCUUCUCUCAAACCGGGUCAGAGAAACUCCUUUCUGCAGCAUGCAGAGACACAGAACUGGUCAAAGUGCUGUGAAGAACAGAUUGAGUGCUCGGCUUUAAAUGGGACAUCUUAAUAACCACUAACCUUCCCCAUGCCCGCUAAGGCUCAGGGAACUUUGAGGAGCAGGCAGCAGAGAGAUGGUGAGAGCUGGAGAAUGGGAAGGAGUGGUGUGAAGUGCUCUCUCUGGACAUGACAUGGCCAUUGCGCUCACCAUGAACUCACAGCAGCUGUAGUUCCCUGACUAAGACCUACAGGAGAUCAAGGUGACUAAAACCCCUCAGACAGGGUAGAUGAUCUCCAAGUCUCACCCUACACCAAGGAGCUUUUGGUAGUUGAUAGCUGCUGGGGAAGAGAGAAUCAUUCGAGGGUGUGGACAACUGAGUUCCCAUGCUUCAGUGGAUGCCUCCUGCCCCCUGCCACCCCACAUGCACAUAUGAGCAGUAUUAAUUGGAUUUAAUGAGUUAUCAAGUUAAAAAAAAAGAAUAAACAAAAAAGAAAAAGAAGUCAUGAAGUUAGGAGUUAGUCAAGUGUUUGGGGAUACAGAGGGUUGGAGGGUGACGUGGGAAUAAAAAUGAUUUUAUUUCAUUGUAUGUAUGCAUGAAAUCUUCAAAGAAUAAAAAAAAUCAACACAUGAGGCUGGAGAGGUGGCUCAGCGGUUAAGAGCACUGACUGCCCUUCCAGAGGUCCUGAGUUCAAUUCCCAGCAACCACAUGGUGGCUCACAACCAUCUGUAAUGAGAUCUGGUGCCCUCUUCUGGCGGGCAGGGGUACAUGCAGGCAGAACACUGUAUACAUAAUAAAUGAGUAAGUCUAAAAAAAUGAACACAUAAUAGAGAAAAUUAGAUUUUUUUUUAAUUGGGGGGGACAUUUCAAAACAGGGUCUCACUAUGUAGCCCUGGCUGUCCUGGAACUUAGUAGGUAGACCAGGCUGGCCUUGAACUCACAGAGAUCCACCUGCCUCUGCUUCCCUAAUGCUGGGACUAAAGGCAUGUGCCACUAUGUGACUGAGAAAAACGAAUUUUUUUUUUUCCAAGGCAGGGUUUCUCUGUGUAACAGCCAUGGCUGUCCUGGAACUCACUCUGUAGACCAGGCUGGCCUCAAACUCAGAGAUCUGCCUGCCUCUGCCUCCUGAGUGCUGGGAUUAAAGGUGUGUGCCACCAUGCCCAGCCCUUACUCUGGAUUAUUAAACCUGAAAUGAUCUUCCUAGAACACAGAUCAAAAUCUGCCUAGAUUCUGUGUGAAGACUGUGUACCCCUAGGGAAAAAAAAAAUUGCUUAGUGUGGCAUUCCCAGACUAUGACUCACUGUAACCUCACUCUAACCUUCCCUCUGCCUAUCCCCCUGACUCUGGAGAACCUCUUCCGGGCUCCUGAGCCCAGUGCUCUCUCCAGUCACUUUAUACAUGUAGAUUCUUCUGGAAGCUUCCUUCAUUCUGACAAACUCCUACUCCACCAGUAAGCCUUCCCCAGGCUUGUGUAGCCUGUCCCUGUGCAGUACUCUUGGUCACACUGAUGUCACUUCAGAGUUCCUCAGGUCAAGGGACCUCCCUGGCAUCAAACCAAUGUCUUCCUUGAGGCAGAAGAGCCAGGGCGCCCAAUACUUUGCAUCUCCUGUGGCCAGCUUUUUUCCAGGAGGUGGGGCAGUAUCCCAACAUGACACCUCCCUGUGGGUCCUCUAGGGAGGAGGCUGGGGCAGUCACAUGAGCUCUGGAGGUGGAGAGGCCCAUCCCAAGCCCCAGCCUUUGACAUCUGCGUCAGGCAAGCUCCUUGCCUCUGUAUGCUCGGCCUUGUACAGAUGUGUACAGAAAUAAGUAGCACCUAGCUCUUAGGUAGUAAUGAUGGCCAUUCUUGGUUGCCAACUUGACCACAUCUGGAAUUAACUAAAAUCCAAGCUAGUGGGAAUUCUUGUGAAAGUUUGUCUUAAUCGGAUUAUUUGAAGCAGGAGGACCCACCCUAAAUCUGGGCCACACCUUCUGUUGGCAGCCUACAUAAAAGGACAUGGAAGAAGGACGCUUUGCUUUUGCCUGCUUGCCCUCACUCUAGCUGGCAAAUGUAUCCAUCCUGCUAUGGAGGCAUGCAUUCCUUCACUGAUAUUAGAACCUACUUCUUUGGAAUUCCAACAUAGACUGAAGGCCAGCUAAGAUAUCCAGCUUUGUGUAUUGAACAACUAUUAGAUUCUUAGGAGACAGCCAUUGUUGGACUAGCUGGACCACAGCCUGUAAGCCACUCUAAUAAAUCCCUGUUUAAUAUAUAUAGAUUCAUCCUAUCAGUUCUGUUCCUCUAGAGAACCCUAACACAGGUAGAGAAGUAGUGAUUGUUCUCUGAAUGAUGGGCAUUACUCCCACACCCACACUGGCGAGGUAUGCUUAUGUCCUGGCACAAUUUAUCCACAUUCCCAGUAGCAAGGUAGGAAUGUUAGCUGGAGCCAGUGCAUAGAGCAGGCAAAGAAAACAUAGAGGCAGACUGUCAUCUGCUUCACCCCUGGCCCACCAGAAUUCAAUGCUCUUCCAUUCCCCAGGAAUGGGAAAGACUUGGGAGCAAGGAAGGGAGGCUGCAGAUGUGGGGUGCACCAGCUCCUGUCAGGGGUGCCCACCAGCCCAACGGUGAUGACAUCACACAACGGUGAUGACAGCAGCCACAGGGGAGUAGGGAGCAGAGAGCUUCUUGGCCUUUCUUCCGCUGGUUCUACAUCCCCAGUACAGGUGCACAGGACCCUCACCUUUUCAAGUUCUUCUACACGCCAGGUAAAUGCAGAGCUGGGGGCUUUGCUGUCACAUCCCCAAGAGGCAUGAGUAAUUGCCCACGUUACAUGUAAAGCCAAGAUGAGAAGACAGGAGCUCACGGGCAGCACCUCCUCUGUCUCCACAGAUACUGUAAGCCAGGCAGGCUUGUCUCUCACUGCUCGGUGAGGCUCCGUUCCUGGGCAGCCUCAAUUUAGAGUCACAAGGACCCUAAGUUAGACUUUGGAACCUGAAGCUUCACCCCGUCUCAGGCCACACCUCUCAACUUAAAUUCAGGCUGUAGAGGACACAGUCCUCCCAGCUGCACACAGCGGGCCUGAAAUCAUCCUGAGUCUUUGGAACCAAAGCUCUGGAUUCUACCCUCUCAACUCUGGAAUUCAGCCCCUUCCUUCCACCGCACUUUGGGUGUCCCAGUGCUAAACCAAGCACCCCAACUACACCAACUACACCUAACUAUACCCUUCUAGCUCCUGCUCCUAGUGUGAGGCAAACCUGGCUAGAGGACUGCAUUGUGAACCCCUCAUUUCCUGCUCGUACUGGUGCUGGUGUGAGAGCUAACAUUAUGUUUUAAGUCUAAAUUACUGUGCUUAAGAGAUCUAUAAAACAGAAAUGCCUCUAACCUGUAAGCCCCACUUGCCCAAGGACAGAUAACUUCCUGGAAUGUUGUUCAUGCAAGAUAGCAAGUCACACAUUAUCACUUCAGUAAACAAGGCUGGUUGCCCCAAAUGCACAGGAUGUGCUUGAUCACAGGCAGGCAGGAGGCACAUGUGUGCUUGCCCCUGACUGGACUAAGGUGGGGGUGCACAGCCUCGGGGGUUUGUCUUUACAAGCAAAAAAUGUAAUUCUGUGCCAUACUCUGUGCAUCCUGGGUAUGGACCUGGCCAGUGUCCAUUGUCCUGGCCAAUAUUUAGUAAAGCUUGCCUUAAAUUUGGCUCAAAACUUA